rnacentral:rRNA from 1 species
GACGAACGCUGGCGGCGUGCUUAACACAUGCAAGUCGAACGGUGAAGGACGGAGCUUGCUCCGACCGGAUCAGUGGCGAACGGGUGAGUAACACGUGAGUAACCUGCCCCAGACUCUGGAAUAACCCCGGGAAACCGGAGCUAAUACCGGAUACGAGACGGAGAGGCAUCUCUACCGUCUGGAAAGUUUUUCGGUCUGGGAUGGAUUCGCGGCCUAUCAGCUAGUUGGUGGGGUAAUGGCUCACCAAGGCGACGACGGGUAGCCGGCCUGAGAGGGCGACCGGCCACACUGGGACUGGGACACGGCCCAGACUCCUACGGGAGGCAGCAGUGGGGAAUAUUGCACAAUGGGCGAAAGCCUGAUGCAGCGACGCCGCGUGGGGGAUGACGGCCUUCGGGUUGUAAACCUCUUUCAGCAGGGAAGAAGCGAAAGUGACGGUACCUGCAGAAAAAGGACCGGCUAACUACGUGCCAGCAGCCGCCGUAA